AGCAGUGUGGCUCAGUGGAAAGAGCACGGGCUUUGGAGUCAGAGGUCAUGGGUUUGAAUCCCAGCUCGGCUG
rnacentral:tRNA from 1 species